AAAAAUACAUAGUGUUUCAUGUGAACGAUAAAAAAGAACGACGAAGAAAAAAAUGCGGCAAGUAUGAUAAUAUUACUUCGCUCUUCUUUAUCCUCCUCUUUCUUAUAUCCUCUUCUUUAUCAUUACUAUCUUUGGGAAAUUAUGUGUGCUUCUAAUACUAAGAGAGCUACAUAUAAUGGUAACAAAUUUUAACUAUAAUAAGCUAUAUUUUGUUUCUUAUUACUCAUUUCAACAUAAUUAUUAUAAGCAGAUUAUAAAA
rnacentral:ribozyme from 1 species